UACGUAGGGGGGCUAGCGUUGUCCGGAUUUAUUGGGCGUAAAGAGCGUGUAGGCGGCCAGAUAGGUCCGUUGUGAAACCUGGAGGCUUAACCUCCAGCCGUCGAUGGAAACCAUCUGGCUAGAGCCGGAAGAGGAGAGUGGAAUUCCUGGUGUAGCGGUGAAAUGCGCAGAUAUCAGGAAGAACACCCGUGGCGAAGGCGGGCUCUC
rnacentral:rRNA from 1 species